rnacentral:lncRNA from 1 species
GACGCCAGGUGGCUCGCAUCCUGAUGGCCCCACUGCCUGACCCCCACAUGCAGUCAUGUGAGUCCUGCAUGCAUCCGGCCAGUCCAACCCUCCAACGCAGCAAGGCCUCGAUUAGACGUAGGGUCAGACAUCUAAUACCGAGGCAAGGCGAGGCGGCAGUUCCUCAGCUGGUCCGCAGCUGGUCCGCAGCUGGUUGGACUUGCCCGGCUCCUACUUCCCGCCCGGGUGGCCGUAGGGUGGUCUCCGCGUAGAUCCUUACCGUACCGCCUUAAGGCGGAAAUGCCAAGCAAGUACUUUCUCGCUAGUACUUCCGCUGAAGCCAGUGAGUGGCUAACACAGAUCAGACUUACAGACAUCCCUUCAAACCCGCCGGGCUAAGGCCAGGGCUACCUAAG